GACAGAGGGUGCAAACGUUGUUCGGAAUUACUGGGCGUAAAGCGAGUGUAGGCGGUCUGCUAAGUCGGGUGUGAAAGCCCCGGGCUCAACCCGGGAAGUGCACUCGAAACUGGCAGGCUAGAGUAUCGGAGAGGUUGGUGGAAUUCUCGGUGUAGAGGUGAAAUUCGUAGAUAUCGAGAGGAACACCGGUGGCGAAGGCGGCCAACUGGACGAAUACUGACGCUGAGACUCGAAAGCGUGGGGAGCAAACAGGAUUAGAAACCCCCGUAGUCC
rnacentral:rRNA from 1 species